rnacentral:rRNA from 1 species
ACGCACGCUGGCGGCGUGCCUAAUACCUGCAAGUAGAACGCACAGUUUAUACCGUAGCUUGCUACACCAUAGACUGUGAGUUGCGAACGGGUGAGUAACGCGUAGGUAACCUGCCUGGUAGCGGGGGAUAACUAUUGGAAACGAUAGCUAAUACCGCAUAAUAUUGAUUAUUGCAUGAUAAUUGAUUGAAAGAUGCUAUUGCAUCACUACCAGAUGGACCUGCGUUGUAUUAGCUAGUAGGUGAGGUAACGGCUCACCUAGGCGACGAUACAUAGCCGACCUGAGAGGGUGAUCGGCCACACUGGGACUGAGACACGGCCCAGACUCCUACGGGAGGCAGCAGUAGGGAAUCUUCGGCAAUGGACGAAAGUCUGACCGAGCAACGCCGCGUGAGUGAAGAAGGUUGUCGGAUCGUAAAGCUCUGUUGUAAGAGAAGAACGGGUGUGAGAGUGGAAAGUUCACACUGUGACGGUAUCUUACCAGAAAGGGACGGCUAACUACGUG